AGUGAACGCUGGCGGUAGGCCUAACACAUGCAAGUCGAACGGCAGCACAGUAAGAGCUUGCUCUUACGGGUGGCGAGUGGCGGACGGGUGAGGAAUACAUCGGAAUCUACUUUUUCGUGGGGGAUAACGUAGGGAAACUUACGCUAAUACCGCAUGCGACCUACGGGUGAAAGCAGGGGAUCUUCGGACCUUGCGCGAUUGAAUGAGCCGAUGUCGGAUUAGCUAGUUGGCGGGGUAAAGGCCCACCAAGGCGACGAUCCGUAGCUGGUCUGAGAGGAUGAUCAGCCACACUGGAACUGAGACACGGUCCAGACUCCUACGGGAGGCAGCAGUGGGAAUAUUGGACAAUGGGCGCAAGCCUGAUCCAGCCAUACCGCGUGGGUGAAGAAGGCCUUCGGGUUGUAAAGCCCUUUUGUUGGGAAAGAAAAGCAGCAGGUUAAUACCCCGCUGUUCUGACGGUACCCAAAGAAUAAGCACCGGCUAACUUCGUG
rnacentral:rRNA from 1 species